UAACACAUGCAAGUCGAACNGGUAACAGGAAACAGCUUGCUGUUUCGCUGACGAGUGGCGGACGGGUGAGUAAUGUCUGGGAAACUGCCUGAUGGAGGGGGAUAACUACUGGAAACGGUAGCUAAUACCGCAUAACGUCGCAAGACCAAAGAGGGGGACCCUCGGGCCUCUUGCCAUCGGAUGUGCCCAGAUGGGAUUAGCUUGUUGGUGGGGUAACGGCUCACCAAGGCGACGAUCCCUAGCUGGUCUGAGAGGAUGACCAGCCACACUGGAACUGAGACACGGUCCAGACUCCUACGGGAGGCAGCAGUGGGGAAUAUUGCACAAUGGGCGCAAGCCUGAUGCAGCCAUGCCGCGUGUAUGAAGAAGGCCUUCGGGUUGUAAAGUACUUUCCAGCGGGGAGGAAGGGAGUAAAGUUAAUACCUUUGCUCAUUGACGUUACCCGCAGAAGAAGCACCGGCUAACUCCGUGCCAGCAGCCGCGGUAAUACGGAGGGUGCAAGCGUUAAUCGGAAUUACUGGGCGUAAAGCGCACGCAGGCGG
rnacentral:rRNA from 1 species